AAUUUUCGGUGGAAGUUUACAUGGUAAUGUACAUCAUAUAUUUUUUUUAGUUUUAUCAUUCUCUUAUUUUAGAAGUUACGGGGGGGGGGGGGGACACACAUUUUACCACUUUGGAAGUGUCUCUCGCGCAAACUAUUCAGUUUAGAAAAAAAUGAUAUUAGAAACCUCAAUAUCAUUUUUGAAGACCUAUCCAUAGAUACCGCACACGUAUGGGUUUGAUGAAAAAAAAUAUUUUUGAGCGAUUUAUGACGUAUUAAAAAAAAACUACUUACUAGAUCUCGUUCAAACCAAUUUUCGGUGGAAGUUUACAUGGUAAUGUACAUCAUAUAUUUUUUUUAGUUUUAUCAUUCUGUUAUUUUAGAAGUUACAGGGGGGGGGGACACACACACACAUUUUACCACUUUGGAAGUGUUUCUCGCGCAAACUAUUCAGUUUAGAAAAAAAUGAUAUUAGAAACCUCAAUAUCAUUUUUGAAGACCUAUCCAUAGAUAC